UACGUAGGGUGCGAGCGUUAAUCGGAAUUACUGGGCGUAAAGCGUGCGCAGGCGGUCUGUUAAGACCGAUGUGAAAUCCCCGGGCUUAACCUGGGAACUGCAUUCGAGACUGCAUUGCUAGAGUAUGGGAGAGGGAAGUGGAAUUUCCGGUGUAGCGGUGAAAUGCGUAGAUAUCGGAAGGAACAUCAGUGGCGAAAGCGACUUCCUGGACCAAUACUGACGCUCAUGUGCGAAAGCGUGGGGAGCAAACAGG
rnacentral:rRNA from 1 species